GGCAAUAACUGUUUCCUUUAUAGUUGACCCCACAUGUUGUCAUGAAAAUUAAUACUAAAUAAAAAAAGUAGCCAAUGAUCCAUGUUUCCUCUUACAGUCUUUGCUUUAUAUGAAAAGUUAAAUACUAUGAAUAAUUGCAUUGUUCCUUUUAUUGAUAAAGAGUUUCCCAUUAAAAGAGAAAGUAUUCCCAAUUAAUCCUUUCCCUGUUAAAGUGUGCUCUCCCUUUGACAAGUAAAAGAGUAAAAUAAUAAAGUAGGGUGCAUCAGGGCACAAUGCAACUCAAUGGGUUAAUUUAACUGGAUCAUUUGGUGUUGGACAGAGUAAAAUAAUAAAGUAGGGCACGACUCAAUGGUUUAACAAGUAAAAUUGUCUAGCUUUACAGUACAUCUUCCAAGGGGGGCUGGAUUUGGGAAGCAGGCCUACCACUUUUAGUUGCAUUGGGGGGGGGUAGGGCUGCUUUUUGAACCUCAAUUAAACUAUUACAGUAAUCUGAAGGCCUGUUUAUAUGGUCUCCGGGUACUAGGGAAAUCCGAGCCACCCUGGCAAGGCAAAAUUAUAUUCAUAUCCUAUUAUAGCAACUGCCAUGCAGGCCGUGUUUGCAUGGAAAGUUUUGAACUUGUCUUGCCUAGUGGGAUGAUCCAGGUAGUAGGAUCACUCCCUCAGGGGGUACAGCAUCUCUAUUACUCAAGAUUAAUUAUAUAAACAUUGCCUGAGGCUAUGUAAACUUGGUGGGCAUUCCAAUAAGAUCAAAUAGUCUCAGGUUUUCCCCAAUCAGGCAAACAAAUUAACAUAGUUGUAAGAUUCGUCUGCGUCUG
rnacentral:lncRNA from 1 species